rnacentral:rRNA from 1 species
GAAUAUUCCCCAAGGGCGAAAACCUGAUGAAGGACCCCGCGGAGGGAUGAAGGCCUUUCGGGUUGUAAACCUUCUUCAGCAGGGAAGAAGCGCAAGGGACGGUACCUGCAGAAGAAGCGCCGGCUAAUUACGUGCCAGCAGCCGCGGUAAUACGUAGGGCGCAAGCGUUGUCCGGAAUUAUUGGGCGUAAAGAGCUCGUAGGCGGUUUGUCGCGUCUGGUGUGAAAACUCGAGGCUCAACCUCGAGCUUGCAUCGGGUACGGGCAGACUAGAGUGCGGUAGGGGAGACUGGAAUUCCUGGUGUAGCGGUGGAAUGCGCAGAUAUCAGGAGGAACACCGAUGGCGAAGGCAGGUCUCUGGGCCGCAACUGACGCUGAGGAGCGAAAGCAUGGGGAGCGAACAGGAUUAGAUACCCUGGUAGUCCAUGCCGUAAACGUUGGGCACUAGGUGUGGGGCUCAUUCCACGAGUUCCGUGCCGCAGCAAACGCAUUAAGUGCCCCGCCUGGGGAGUACGGCCGCAAGGCUAAAACUCAAAGGAAUUGACGGGGGCCCGCACAAGCGGCGGAGCAUGCGGAUUAAUUCGAUGCAACGCGAAGAACCUUACCAAGGCUUGACAUGCACGGGAAGCCACCAGAGAUGGUGGUCUCUUUGGACACUCGUGCACAGGUGGUGCAUGGUUGUCGUCAGCUCGUGUCGUGAGAUGUUGGGUUAAGUCCCGCAACGAGCGCAACCCUCGUCCCAUGUUGCCAGCGGGUUAUGCCGGGGACUCAUGGGAGACUGCCGGGGUCAACUCGGAGGAAGGUGGGGAUGACGUCAAAUCAUCAUGCCCCUUAUGUCUUGGGCUUCACGCAUGCUACAAUGGCCGGUACAAAGGGCUGCGAUACCGUAAGGUGGAGCGAAUCCCAAAAAGCCGGUCUCAGUUCGGAUUGGGGUCUGCAACUCGACCCCAUGAAGUCGGAGUCGCUAGUAAUCGCAGAUCAGCAACGCUGCGGUGAAUACGUUCCCGGGCCUUGUACACACCGCCCGUCAAGUCACGAAAGUCGGUAACACCCGAAGCCCAUGGCCCAACCGUUCGCGGGGGGAGUGGUCGAAGGUGUACCGG